rnacentral:rRNA from 1 species
UACGGAGGGAGCUAGCGUUGUUCGGAAUUACUGGGCGUAAAGCGCGCGUAGGCGGCUUUGUAAGUUAGAGGUGAAAGCCCGGGGCUCAACCCCGGAACUGCCUUUAAGACUGCAUCGCUUGAAUCCAGGAGAGGUGAGUGGAAUUCCGGAGUGUAGAGGUGAAAUUCGUAGAUAUUCGGAAGAACACCAGUGGCGAAGGCGGCUCACUGGAGCUGGUAUUGACGCUGAUGUGCGAAAGCGUGGGGAGCAAACAGG